AUAAGCGUAUUAUAAGUCACUACAUCUGGAAAACAAUGCUUGCUAACCAUGAACUCAAACAUCUGCUUGGCCUCGUCUAGACGAUCGUGCAUACAAAACCCGUUGAUCAAUGAACUGUAUGUGACAAUACUAGGAUCUAUGGACCUUUUGACCAUCUCGUCGUACAAUUUCUCAGCCUCUACAAGCUUGCCCUCCUUCACAAACGCAUCGAUCAAUGCGCUGAAAGUGAAUACAUCAGGGUUGAUUUUCCUCUCAAUCAUAUCACUAAGGAGGCGAGAGGCAUCACUCCAUCUUCCGUAAUUACAAAGGCAACUUAUGAGGGAGCUGUAGGUAACAACAUUUGGUCUAAUGCCUUUUGUUUCCAUUUCUUUAAAUAGGUUGAGCGCAUCAUCCAUAUGUUUGUAUUUGCAAAGACCAUCAAUGAUUGUGUUGUAGAUCAAAACACCAGGUUCUAAUUUCCCUUGUUCCAUCUUGUUGAGCAGAUUAAAAGCCAAAUCAGUAUCACCUCUCUUACAUAAUCCAUUUACUACCACUCCAUAAGUAACCAGAUCUGGUUGACAACCUUUUGCAACCAUUCGAUCAAUUAAAGCCAUUGCUUCUGAAGCUUUGUUGUGAAGAAAAAGUCCAUG
rnacentral:sRNA from 1 species